rnacentral:rRNA from 1 species
UGAGGAAUAUUGGUCAAUGGGCGCAAGCCUGAACCAGCCAAGUAGCGUGCAGGAUGACGGCCCUAUGGGUUGUAAACUGCUUUUAUACGGGAAUAAAGGGCUUCACGUGUGAAGUUUUGCAUGUACUGUAUGAAUAAGGACCGGCUAAUUCCGUGCCAGCAGCCGCGGUAAUACGGAAGGUCCGGGCGUUAUCCGGAUUUAUUGGGUUUAAAGGGAGCGUAGGCCGCCUUUUAAGCGUGUUGUGAAAUGCAGUUGCCCAACAUCUGCACUGCAGCGCGAACUGGAGGGCUUGAGUUCACGGAAAGUUGGCG